CUGGGAUCCACAGAACCAGAGCACAUGGAGGUGACCACCUUAAAAUUGUUCACUUUUGUGGAUGUAUCUACAAUAACCGUGAACAACGAUAAUUGCAUUGGAAGAGGAUCAUAUGGAGCAGUUUACAAAGGCUCAUACCAGGGAACUCCUGCUGCUGUAAAGAUCAUCCCUAUUGGAGAUAGUUCAGUCAUCACAAAUGAGUUUCUCAUACCUUUGCGUUUGUCUCACCCCCACAUUGUGCGGAUGAUGGCUGUAGCCAAAAGUGAGACCCAGAUGCUCAUUGCUAAUGAGUACAUCCAUGGUGCC